UACAGAGGGGGCAAGCGUUGUUCGGAAUUACUGGGCGUAAAGGGCGCGUAGGCGGCCUCCUAAGUCGAACGUGAAAUCCCCGGGCUCAACCCGGGAACUGCGUCCGAUACUGGAAGGCUUGAAUCCGGGAGAGGGAUGCGGAAUUCCAGGUGUAGCGGUGAAAUGCGUAGAUAUCUGGAGGAACACCGGUGGCGAAGGCGGCAUCCUGGACCGGCAUUGACGCUGAGGCGCGAAAGCCAGGGGAGCAAACGGG
rnacentral:rRNA from 1 species